rnacentral:rRNA from 1 species
GACGAACGCUGGCGGCGUGCCUAAUACAUGCAAGUUGAACGCAACAAAGACACCAGAGCUUGCUCUACCGUUUUUGUUGAGUAGCGAACGGAUGAGUAACGCGUGGGUAACCUGCCCUUAUAGCGGGGGAUAACUAUUGGAAACGAUAGCUAAUACCGCAUAACAAUAGAGAUUGCAUAAAUCUUUAUUUGAAAGUGCCAACUGGUACACUAUGAGAUGGACCCGCGUUGUAUUAGCUAGUUGGUAGUGUAAUGGACUACCAAGGCGAUGAUACAUAGCUGACCUGAGAGGGUGAAUCGGCCACAUUGGGACUGAGACACGGCCCAAA